rnacentral:lncRNA from 1 species
CUUCCGCUGGAACGCGUGGAUGAGCUGGGAAGAAAUAGGGGAGACGCUUGGAGAUGAUGAACGUUGGGAAGCUCCCCAUGGCCGCUGGCUCGAACGGAUGGAAUGUGGCGACGGUUGGGAAGCUGAGAAGACUCCUCUAAUGGCUGGAAUUCAUUUGCUGUAAAGGAAGUGGAGGGAUGUUGAAACACGGUUGAAUUAAAGAGAAUGUGAACCGUUGGGAUGUUGAGAAGACUUCUCGGCUGAGAUUGUUCCUAAACAGAGGAUAUGGGAUAUUGAUCAUGUUGCAUGUUCUGGGAGGUCACGGAUAGUUGAGAAGUUUGGGAAAUUUUAAAGUCCCCAUGCUACGGACAUUGGAAAAUUUGUUGAGCUCGGGCUACCGGGCAUUGGGCUGAAACCAGCGUUAUUGAAUCUCUUGGAUUACUUGCACUCAAACACAAA